CCUCCUGUAAUUCCCAGUCCCCAAGGCCUGUGCUACUUGACUGCUCAUGUGAUUGAGGCUUUAGAGAUGAAGUUCAGAGACAUUUCAAGCACGAUCAAAGCCAUCGAUGUCCCAUUGCUGCCAAAAGCCCAAAACACCUGUUUGUGACAUGACAUUUUCUUUGCAGAGUGCAAGGUUUGCCUUCAGUGUUGGGUGCAGCUAUAGCCCCUCGGUGUCGCUGGACCACUCGUGAGGAUUGCAUCGCUUCACUCAGUUUCAUAACCUUCCAGUCAGAGGUCUUUAACAAGUGACUAAGUAAUUCCUGAGCUUUAAAAAAAAUAAUAAUAUUACCCCUUUAAGCUGUGCCAGGAGUACAAAUCUAAUUUUCUUUUUAGGCAUUGUCUUUUAUUUCCUUGAGGUUUGAAAAGGGGAGCUCUGCUUUUAGCCACGGAGCCCUCUAUGCAGUCUCCUGAAGUUCACACCAUCAAAAAGAGCUCGCAGGUUGCUGGGAACAACGACAAGAAGAAACAUGGUGGUCUAGCAAUGCUCUGCGGCAGCUCUGGGCUCUGUAGGGCUGAUCUUCCCAGGCUGUAAAUCCCUUCAGCUGCAGUUUAGCUCUUCAGUAUGGAGACUAAGGCCGUACCUAGGGGAUGCAAUCCUGUAAUUAACCCGGAAAGCUACAGGGUCGAUGUUUUCCCAUUGUGAGCCAAGCCCAGUCACUUAAAGCCUUCAGCUAGUUUGGUUUAAUUUUUGGAAAGGUGUGGAAGGGCACACCCUAGAAGGAGGGCAGAGAGGAGAGGCACACUGGAGGGUUUUUCUGCGUGUCGUUGGUAAACCAGCCUUGCUGAGCGCAUGGGCUUGCACGAGUCGUGGCAUCCCACAGGCUCCCCCUUCCCGGUGCGUGCCUAUGGGAAUGUGCUCAUCUCUCUGCUGUAACGCUCACCAUCAGGCCGGUCACAGAAGGAAGCGACUGCACCGUGUUUUGUGUGCCUUCUCAGGCUCUCGGGGGAAUUAGGACUCUCCGAGUCGCAAUGGGAUUGCUUCCUGCAUAGCAGUCCUUCCCCCCCACCCGAACUGCAAAGCCCCUCCACCUGUUACCCUGGGUGAGAGCAGUAAGUUGGUUCUACCUUGCAACCCUUAUUCCAGCACAAGUUUCCAGACUCUUGUGUGGUUGCCUCCAUAUUCUCUGUUUCCAGUCAGAAGCUUGUUUCUGGUCAUGAGUUUUAAUUCUGAUACCUGUGUACUCCCUGGUUGGCUGU
rnacentral:lncRNA from 1 species